rnacentral:lncRNA from 1 species
UUGUGGGUUAUGUUUUGGCUCAAUUCAUUUCAAAAGAAAUCAUGUGUCUUGAGUUUCUGUUUAAACCAAAGUCUUUCUUAUUUAAUUAGGUUUUUAAGAAAGUUUUUAUAAAACCAUAAGGAGUUGUGAGUUCAUGUUGGCUCAUUUUUCUUUUUCAAGAAUUAAUGCAUCUUGGAUUUUAGUUUAAAACAAACAUUGACUACUUGAAUCAUGAUUCUCGAUGAAGUUUUACUUGAUGAUAAAAUCGGGAAGGAUUUGAUGAACGUUUUGAAGAGAUGCAAUUAUUAAUAGCGACCUGUUUUCUAUUUAAACUAAAACCAAUGUUUAAGAAUUCUUGAAAAUUCAAGAGAGAGAUUCUUCAUUUGUUUUUAGAUUUCAAGAACAAUGCUGUUGAUUUUGUUCUCUCUUGCAUUUCACGAACCUGAUGACCUUUUCAAAAGUUUAGAUUUUUUUAUAGCUUGAUACAACCCAAUAUCCAUGUUAAAUUUUUAAAAUUUUAGUAAGAUGCAUGUAAGGAAUGUCGAGUUCUUUCGAGAAAGUGAUCUUGUGGGUUGUGUUUUGGCUUAAUUCAUUUCUUUUGUCUUAAGUUUUUGUUUAAACCAAAGAUUUUCUUCUUUAUUGAGUUUCUUGAUAAAAUUUUUAUUUAAUGAUGAAAACCAUAAGGAAUUGUAAAUUCAUGUUAACUCAUUUUUCUUUUUCAAGAAUUACUACAUCUUGAGUUUUAGUUUAAAACAAACAUUGACUCCUUGAAUUAUGAUUCUCGAUGAAGUUUUACUUGAUAAUGAAAUCGAGGACUUGAUAAAUGUUUUGAAGAGAUGCAAUUACUAAUAACAGCCAUUUUAUGUUUAAAAUUAAACCAAUAUACAGGAAUUCUUGGAAAUUUAAGAGAGAUAUCCUUCAAGUUUUUUUCAUAUUUCAAGAACAGUGUUCUUAAUUUUGUUCUCUCUCACAUUUCAAGGACUUGAUGGCAUUUUUAAAAGCUCAGAUUUUCCGAUAGCCAAAUAGAACCCAAUAUCUCCAUGUUGCACCCUAAAUUUUUAAAAUAUUGAUAAGAUACAUAU